rnacentral:rRNA from 1 species
CGGGUGAGUAACACGUGGGUGACCUGCCUUCGAGUGGGGGAUAACGUCCCGAAAGGGACGCUAAUACCGCAUAACAUCCUGCCUUUGAACAGGUGGAGAUCAAAGCUGGGGAUCGAUGAGACCCGGCGCUUGAAGAGGGGCCCGCGUCCCAAUUAACUAAUUGGGGGAGGGUAUGGCUUCCCCAGGGGAACGAUCGGGUAGCCGGCCUGAGAGGGCGGACGGCCACACUGGGACUGAGACACGGCCCAGACUCCUACGGGAGGCAGCAGUGGGGAAUUGUUCGCAAUGGGCGCAAGCCUGACGACGCAACGCCGCGUGGAGGAUGAAGGUCUUCGGAUUGUAAACUCCUGUUGCCCGGGAAGAACGACCCCGACCUAAUACGUCGGGGUGUGACGGUACCGGGUGAGGAAGCCCCGGCUAACUCUGUGCCAGCAGCCGCGGUAAUACAGAGGGGCAAGCGUUGUUCGGAAUUACUGGGCGUAAAAGGGCGCGUAGGCGGCCUUCUAAGUCGGACGUGAAAUCCCCGGGCUCAACCCGGGAAAUUGCGUCCGAUACUGGUUGGGCUUGAAUCCGGGAGAGGGAUGCGGAAUUCCAGUGUAGCGGGUGAAAUGCGUAGAAUAUUCUGAGAAC